AUUGAACGCUGGCGGCAUGCCUUACACAUGCAAGUCGAACGGUAACAGGCCGCAAGGUGCUGACGAGUGGCGAACGGGUGAGUAAUGCAUCGGAACGUGCCCAGUCGUGGGGGAUAACUGCUCGAAAGAGCAGCUAAUACCGCAUACGACCUGAGGGUGAAAGCGGGGGACCGUAAGGCCUCGCGCGAUUGGCGCGGCCGAUGUCAGAUUAGCUAGUUGGUGGGGUAAAGGCCUACCAAGGCAACGAUCUGUAGUUGGUCUGAGAGGACGACCAGCCACACUGGGACUGAGACACGGCCCAGACUCCUACGGGAGGCAGCAGUGGGGGAUUUUGGACAAUGGGCGCAAGCCUGAUCCAGCAAUGCCGCGUGCAGGAAGAAGGCCUUCGGGUUGUAAACUGCUUUUGUCAGGGAAGAAAUCUUCUGGGCUAAUACCCCGGGAGGAUGACGGUACCUGAAGAAUAAGCACCGGCUAACUACGUGCCAGCAGCCGCCGUAACAC
rnacentral:rRNA from 1 species